UACGGAGGGUGCAAGCGUUGUUCGGAAUCACUGGGCUUAAAGGGCGCGUAGGUGGUAGUGCAAGUCUGGGGUGGAAUCUUAGGGCUUAACCCUAAAAUUGCCUUGGAAACUGUAUUACUUGAGUCAGUGAGGGGAGGGUAGAAUUCCCGGUGUAGCGGUGAAAUGCGUAGAUAUCGGGAGGAAGGCCUGUGGCGAAGGCGGCCCUCUGGCGCUGAACUGACACUGAGGCGCGAAAGCGUGGGGAGCAAACAGG
rnacentral:rRNA from 1 species